GACCUCGGAUCAGGUAGGGAUACCA
rnacentral:rRNA from 1 species